UACGGGGGGGGCAAGCGUUGUUCGGAAUUACUGGGCGUAAAGGGCUCGUAGGCGGCCAACUAAGUCAGACGUGAAAUCCCUCGGCUUAACCGGGGAACUGCGUCUGAUACUGGAUGGCUUGGAUUUGGGAGAGGGAUGCGGAAUUCCAGGUGUAGCGGUGAAAUGCGUAGAUAUCGGGAGGAACACCAGUGGCGAAGGCGGCGACCUGGACGGACACUGACGCUGAGACGCGAAAGCGUGGGGAGCAAACAGG
rnacentral:rRNA from 1 species